GCCCAUAUAGUCAAGUGGAUACGAUGCCUCGGAAUAAUUCGAUGGUCCCAAGGAUUUUUCCGGAGAAGCGGGGGUUCGAAUCCCUCUAUGAGUA
rnacentral:tRNA from 1 species